AUUGAACGCUGGCGGCAGGCCUAACACAUGCAAGUCGAGCGGAUGAAGGGAGCUUGCUCCUGGAUUCAGCGGCGGACGGGUGAGUAAUGCCUAGGAAUCUGCCUGGUAGUGGGGGAUAACGUCCGGAAACGGGCGCUAAUACCGCAUACGUCCUGAGGGAGAAAGUGGUGGAUCUUCGGACCUCACGCUAUCAGAUGAGCCUAGGUCGGAUUAGCUAGUUGGUGGGGUAAAGGCCUACCAAGGCGACGAUCCGUAACUGGUCUGAGAGGAUGAUCAGUCACACUGGAACUGGGAAACGGUCCAGACUCCUAGGGGAGGCAGCAGUGGGGAAUAUUGGACAAUGGGCGAAAGCCUGAUCCAGCCAUGCCGCGUGUGUGAAGAAGGUCUUCGGAUUGUAAAGCACUUUAAGUUGGGAGGAAGGGCAGUAAGUUAAUACCUUGCUGUUUUGACGUUACCAACAGAAUAAGCAACGGCUAACCUCGUG
rnacentral:rRNA from 1 species